UACGUAGGUCCCGAGCGUUGUCCGGAUUUAUUGGGCGUAAAGCGAGUGCAGGUGGUUUAUUAAGUCUGGUGUAAAAGGCAGUGGCUCAACCAUUGUAUGUAUUGGAAACUGGUAGACUUGAGUGCAGGAGAGGAGAGUGGAAUUCCAUGUGUAGCGGCGAAAUGCGUAGAUAUAUGGAGGAACACCGGUGGCGAAAGCGGCUCUCUGGCCUGUAACUGACACUGAGGCUCGAAAGCGUGGGGAGCAAACAGG
rnacentral:rRNA from 1 species